UACCGGCGUANAGAGUGGUUAGAGAAGAAACUAAACUAAAGCCAAACGCCUUCAGAGCUGUUAUACGCUUACGAAGAGCAGAGACACAACCACGAAAGUGGCUUUACUUAACCUGACCCCACGAAAGCUAGGGCACAAACUGGGAUUAGAUACCCCACUAUGCCUAGCCGUAAACAUUGAUAGUGCAUUACAUCUGCUAUCCGCCCGGGUACUACGAGCAUCAGCUUAAAACCCAAAGGACUUGGCGGUGCUUUAGAUCCACCUAGAGGAGCCUGUUCUAGAACCGAUAAUCCCCGUUAAACCUCACCUUUCCUUGUUUUCCCAGCCUAUAUACCGCCGUCGUCAGCUUACCCUGCGAAGGACCAACAGUAAGCAAAAUUGGCACAGCCCAGAACGCCAGGUCGAGGUGUAGCCUAUGGAAAGGGAAGAAAUGGGCUACAUUCAAUAUUACAAUGAAUACGAACGGGGGGUUGAAACACCCCCCUGAAGGAGGAUUUAGCAGUAAGCAGGAAAUAGAGAGUCCCGCUGAAAUUGGCCCUGAAGCGCGUACACACCGCCCGUCACUCUCCCCGAGUCUAUGAAUUAUCAUACCUAAUACCCUAAAACUGCAAAGGGGAGGCAAGUCGUAA
rnacentral:rRNA from 1 species